rnacentral:rRNA from 1 species
GAUGAACGCUGGCGGCGUGCUUAACACAUGCAAGUCGAACGGAAAGGCCCAAGCUUGCUUGGGUACUCGAGUGGCGAACGGGUGAGUAACACGUGGGUGAUCUGCCCUGCACUUCGGGAUAAGCCUGGGAAACUGGGUCUAAUACUGGAUAGGACCACUCCUUGGAUGGUGUGGUGGAAAGUUUUUUCGGUGUGGGAUGAGCUCGCGGCCUAUCAGCUUGUUGGUGGGGUAAUGGCCUACCAAGGCGUCGACGGGUAGCCGGCCUGAGAGGAUGUACGGCCACAUUGGAACUGAGAGACGGCCCAGAGUCCUAAGGGGGGCAGCAGUGGGGAAGAUUGCACAAUGGGCGCAAGACUGCUGCAGCGACGCCGCGUGGGGGAUGACGGCCUUCGGGUUGUAAACUCCUUUCGCUAGGGACGAAGCGUUUUUGUGACGGUACCUGGAGAAGAAGCACCGGCUAACUACGUG